UUUAGGGAGACCUAUCCCUCAAUCACUCUGAACCAAUUUGAAUUAAGAGGAUUGAGUGGUCACUCUAGGUCGAGCAGGGCUUUGAGUAGAGUUUCUAGACUAGGGUUGAGGUUUAUUUUUUAGUCUUACGGGGCUAGAGAACUAAACACGGGCUAUUAGCUCAGGUGGUUAGAGCGCACCCCUGAUAAGGGUGAGGUCCCUGGUUCGAGUCCAGGAUGGCCCACUUGUGGGGGUUUAGCUCAGUUGGUAGAGCGCCUGCUUUGCAAGCAGGAUGUCAGCGGUUCGAGUCCGCUAACCUCCACCACGAAAGCAUGGAUGUAAUUCAGCACAUUGAGACUGACUGAAUAAGUCAGGUUAAGUCUUAAUCUGCUGGGUGAGAGCCUAGCGAAGAACCUUGAAAACUGAAUACGAGAGAAGUGUAAGGUAGUACACACAGAACAUUCAGAGUUCGUUGAGAGAAGAGUGAACUUGAUUAGUUUCGACUAAUUGAGUGAA
rnacentral:tRNA from 1 species